AAUACUCCAAUUUUCUUUCUUCUCAAACUCCAAACCUGUGCCAGGAACUCCUUCGGUCCUUGAGUCCUUCCUCCUCCUCCUCCUCCUCUUAAAACCCUAGCAACAAAAGCAGCGUCUUGUAGUUGUAUCUAUAGUCGGCGCCGCCUCUGCCAACCACCUCUCCUUCUCUACUGCUACUGCUACUGCUGCUGCUUUCUCGCUGGAAGAUUACUUUUCUCGAAAGUAGAGAUGAGUUUAAUUUCUCAAAAUGCCAUUAUCAAAAAUAAUAAAGUGAAGAAGAAGUCUAAGCGGAACAAUGAUGAGAGCGAGGAGCCUUCAUUGUUGGAAGACAGGGAGGAAGUUUUGGAGAAUGAGGGUUUGGAUGGUGAUGCUGCUCUAAGUCUUAAGAAGAGAAAGAAGAGGAAUGAUGCGGAGGAAAAGCGGUUGCUUGUUGAGGAAGAAUUGGAAAUGCAGAAGUUAGGGAAUUUUUUGUUUGGUUCUCUUCAUUCCCCGGUUGAAUUUGGAAAUGUAGUUGAAGAUGAAAAUGAAAAUGGUGGGUUGGAUGUGGAUGACUCUGCAUUGUUUGUCAUGGAUCGCUCUGGUAAUAAAGAUGUGUCGGUUUACGGAGACGAUGAGGGUGAUCAAGUUGACGAAAAUGGUGAUAAGCAAAGGAAGCCUGCUUGGUUGGAUGAUGAGGAGGACACCGUAGUUAAUAUUUCCAAGGUUAAUAGGCUGAGGAAGCUGAGGAAGGAAGAAGAUGAGACUGAAAUAUCAGGUUCUGCGUAUGUGUCAAGGUUGAGGGCUCACCAUGCGAAGCUGAACCCUGGUACAGGUUGGGCCAAUCUUGAUUCAAAGGUCAGAACUUAUGAUUCUGAUGAGGAGUCUGAGGUAGAAAAUGGGGCUGUGGUUGCCUCAGGGUAUGAAAAUGUUGAUGAUAUCCUUAGAACUAAUGAAGAGCUUGUAGUGAAGAGAGGUGCCAAGCUUUUACCUAGAAUCUUGGAGUACUCGAGAUUAGUAGAUGCUAAUGCAGAAGAUCCUUCUAAUGGCCCAAUAAACGCUGUCCAAUUUCACAGAAAUCAUCAGUUGCUCCUUGCUGCUGGAUUAGACCGAAAGCUGAGGUUUUUCCAGAUUGAUGGCAAGAGGAAUAAAAUGAUGGAUUCCAUCUUCAUUGAAGAUUGCCCUAUUAGAAAUGCAUCUUUCUUACCCGAUGGCUCUCAAGUAAUUGUUUCUGGCAGAAGAAAGUUCUUUUACAGCGUCGAUAUAUCCAAGGGAAAUGUGGAUAAGAUUGGGCCACUGACUGGAAGAGAGGAAAAAAGCUUAGAAGUGUUUGCGGUUUCCCCUGAUUCUCGUACUAUAGCCUUUUUAGGAAAUGAAGGUUACAUCUUAUUGGUAUCAGCAAAAACUAAAGAGCUAAUUGGCACCCUUAAAAUGAAUGGAACAGCUCGCUCAAUAGCUUUUACUGAUGAUGGGCAGCAAUUGCUGAGUUCUGGGGGUGAUGGUCAUGUCUACCUUUGGGAUUUAAGAACGAGAACUUGUCUCCAUAAGGGUGUAGACGAGGGCUCCAUUAAUGGCACUGCUCUUUGUACUGCACCUGUAGGGAAUCUAUUUGCAGCCGGCUCAUCAAGUGGAAUAGUUAAUGUUUACAACAAGGAGGAAUUUUUGGGUGGCAAGAGAAAACCAAUCAAAACACUUGAGCAUCUCAGAACCGAAGCAAGUUUCAUGAAGUUCAACCAUGAUGCCCAGAUAUUAGCCAUCUGUUCAACAAUGCAAAAGAGCAGCUUAAAACUGGUCCACAUCCCUUCGUUUACUGUCUUUUCUAAUUGGCCUCCUGCAAGCAAAACACUACACUAUCCAAGAUGUUUGGAUUUUAGUCCCGCUGGUGGUUUCAUGGCUGCAGGGAAUGCGGCUGGAAAUGUUUUGCUGUAUAAGUUGCAUCAUUAUCAGCAAGCAUAAGAUAAUAGGACUGUCUGGAUGUACUGCUGCUCCGUUUUUUCCAAUUUUGCUUUAAGGAAUAGUUUCUCUCUGGUUAUGAGAUCAACAGAAGGUAUUAGUUAGUUUGAAUUUGUAAGUUGGUCUUCGAGACUUGUUUUGGGAUCACAAAGUCUUUGAGACUUCUGAGUUGCUGCUUUUAGAACUUCCAUGCACUUAUCAGUGUAUCAUGAGCUCAUAUAACAAUUUAUUAAAGAAUGAAUUCUGGUGGUUGGACGGUGGUUAAGCAGGCCAAAUAUCUAAUCUACAAACCAAACCCUGGCGUCAUGAAGGUGGUAUACUAUGGAAGAAUUUGCAUUUGCCACUACUUAAGACUGAUCCCACUACUUAAGCCAGGUUCGAGUUUGUCUCAAUUUCAUAUAAGUUGCCUGGUGUGCAUACGCGUGCUUCAUUCUUGAUUGAUUAGUAGGUGAAUUAUUUAUUGUUGUUUAGCAGCAAUGAGUCUCAGGUUUUGAAUUCGCCACACUAAAUAAUAAAUACUACAUGCUAGGCUAGUUUCUAUGCACUAGUGCUCUUUAAUUUGUUAAAUUACUACCAUAUUGUAAAAGUAAUGUGUCUUGCUUCAGUUGCUUAUUUCCUAUCUUGAAUAAAGAUGUUGGUAGUUUCCAUUCGCAAGCUGCUAUGCACCACCACAACUCUUAUUUACUUCAAAUCACUAACCUAUAAAAGCAAGAAGUUGUCUUAUCUAUUCCUAAUGAAUAUUGAAAAGUCUGGUUUACCCCAGCUUCCUUUGUAUUUUUGGCAUUUUCCUUAACGAGUUAACCUACUUAUUUGCCCUUAUAUGUGUUUUACUUUUUUCCUAUUUUCGUUGCUGAGGAGUGCAAGAGCCUUCCUCCGUUCCUCCUCCUCCUACUCUGCUGAUGCUGCAUUUUUCUCUCCAAACCACACACUCUCUCUUCCCUUACUUCCCCUGUUUCCGUUGUUUUUGAGGGUUUAAGGAUCAUUGCAAUCUCAAUCAAUGAACCCUAGAUUUUCAGAUUUUCCAAUUUUCAUCAAUCUCCAUUUUUCAUGAUGCUGUCGGUUAAUGGCAACAUUCGAGGUCUCUGAGGAGUCCAAGUAUGGCUACACUCGCAAGCUGAAAAUGUAUACUUUAGUUGAUCUAAUUUGAUCAUGCUAAUUCAGCUAAAUUGGUUCGUAGUCAAUGGUUCCUUGACUUUGCUGUUUUAGGUAAGUUUUUAGUGUUUUAUUGUUAGUUGAUUUGUGGUAAUUUGGUUGUUUGAAUCAAGCAAACACGAUAAUGAAGUAAUUCAAAUCAAAUCGAAAACCUAAUUUCUAUAAUUGUGCUAAGAAUUCGGUCAAAUGUUGCAAAUUUUUAAUGGCUUGAUAAGCUUUGAAUUUAUGGACUAUUUUCUGGAGUUUUGAUAUAUUAAGUACUUAUUCAGGUAAUGAUACCAUCAUACCAGGGAUACUGGAUCAGUAAGCCAGAGGCCAAUUCCUAAUAUUGACAAGCAAUUGGAGCUGCAUAUUCAGGUUCUGUAUGCUUGAGAACCUCAGUUAUUUGUGUUAGACUGGCACUUUGUUAGUCAGAUUCUCCUGAUUACCACUGUUGUACUAUAGCUUCCCAGUAGGUUGUAUUUGUGUAUUGUCAGUCCUUGUAUGCUUCUGCGCUAUUUAGAAUUGAAAUCAUGGUAUAUCAUCUUGAAGUUGAUUACAUUAAACCUAGAAUGUAUCGUCAUUUGUGUGUAUUCAGUCGGUCUUGGGAAUUUUAGUUAGAGUGACAUAGACGGAGAAAGUACAUUGCCUUUGCUACAUAUUAUAUAAUGAAUGCCUGAAUGGUUCAUUUCUAACUAAGUGUACAUGUUUAGACUGUUUCUCAAAUGAUUAGAUGCACCCCUAGCAACUUGCUACUUUCUCAAAUGAUACAGUUCAGAUGCAUUGACACAGUAAACAACAGCUGGAUGGCAGAAAUAUUUUUAUUUCGUGGCCAACUUGAGGCUCACUUUGACCAAUAGAUCUUACUGCGUUGAACUGAAAUAUUGGCGGUGGGAAAUAUCUUUUAUAUUUUGCAAAAACGUUCAUGGCUGCAAAUAAGAGCUUCUUAUUUCAAUUUGGAUUUUUCUGAAUAAACGUAAUUAGAUAUAGGACGUAUUUGCAGCAGAGCUUUGCUUCUUUUUUAGCUUAGUUUGUUGCUUCAUUAUGUGUCGUCAUUAAUGACCAGAAGAGAAAACUGCUCAUCAGUUGUCAUGUGAACUCAUGCAUCCCAAAAACCGUUUUUAUUUUGUCUGUGAUGUAGUAGCGACCAUCUAGGUUGCAUUAACCAACCAUAGAUACUUGAUUGCCCACUGAUUUUUUUUGCUAAUUAACCAAGGCUCUGUCUGUUUCCUACCUCCAAUAAAUGAUAUGACUAUAUCAUCAGGGAUCUGGGAAAACAACUCCUUGUACAGUAAUUGAUAUUGUUCUUCUGAAAAGCUCAUCUGAGAGAGAAAAAGAGAGCUGCAACUGGUUAGAUGGAGUUCUUACAGAAUGGUAGAGCUAAUAUUGGUUAAGCCAUACAGAUGUGGCAUAUUAGUCAUCACAUGUCAUGUUAGGAGGUAGUGCUGGUUACCUACUAUUUCAGGGAGUUUUUAUUGUUACGAUGUAUGCAGCAGGGGGUUUUACUUUUAAUAUCUAUGCUUUGGGGAUGUAUAAAAAUAAAAAGUCAUUUCGUAUAGUAAGUAUGACCAAACUCAUAUAUGGAGAAAAAGCUUAGGUAAUUGAUGUUCCCUCAAAAAAAAAGCUUAGGUAAUGGAUACAACCUUGAUUGCUAUAAACUCAUCAUGUAGAGCUCCAUAAUUUAUGUGACAGGGGAAGAGUUUAGGUAUCACUAGUUUGGUUUGUCCUCGGGUCUCUGAUACAAUAAUAUGCAACUGUGUGUGCAGAGUCUCUCAUUUUAAAUCUAUUCGUAAACAGCAAAUGAAUGUUUGGUAGAUGUUUUCAUGUUAUUUCUUAUUGCUGAGAAAAUUUCUAAAUGGCUAACUGUUGGUAAAUUUUCUCACACGUUUGCCAUAUGACCUUUUUUUUGCUUGUUUAUGUGAUUGAUAGUCGAUAGACGACAUACAGCGGGAUACAAGUUCCAGGAUAAAGCUAAGGAUGAUAGGAUAAUCAAAGAAGCUGAGUUAGCACUUUCUUUGUAACUCUUUUGCGGAGAGGAAACUGGUAGUAUUUUAAGAUACUUGUUCAGAGUUGGGGUCUAAUGAUCCUUAAUUGCAUUUUCUGCCCUGCUCAUAUCAGUUAAGUUUUUUAUUGUAUCUGUUCUUCUUAGUUGCCAUGGAUUCAGGUCACCUGACGCUGUUCUAUUCUCAGAAGUGUGCUGAUGUUUUGUGUUCUGGGUUGGCUUAAGUCUGUUGGUCCGAGGUAGUGCAGCAAGUUAGUUCAGGUUUGCUGUAUUUUGGGUGGAAGAAAAAGCUGUCAACCAAGCACCAGUUAGUGGUCCAAAGCAUACACACACUAUACCAGCACAUGCCACCAAAUGUGUACCGGGCAGUUACAUCACACAGUUCAGUGAUGAUAUUUAAGCAACACUAAAUCAGGCUUUAGAUUGGAUGGGUAAAUUGUGCAGUGUGUGUAGUUGUCAUAAUGCACCUUGCUUAAUACUCCGCAAUUUGCUUCAUUUUGUAGUGAACACAGAACAUUGUUUGUUGAAAAUAUUCCUGUUAAUUUCAUA